CGAGGGGCAGCAUGACCUAGCAAUAGGUUGAUGGCGACCGGCGGACGGGUGAGUAACACGUAUCCAACCUACCGGUUAUUCCGGGAUAGCCUUUCGAAAGAAAGAUUAAUACCGGAUAGUAUAACGAGAAGGCAUCUUUUUGUUAUUAAAGAAUUUCGAUAACCGAUGGGGAUGCGUUCCAUUAGUUUGUUGGCGGGGUAACGGCCCACCAAGACAUCGAUGGAUAGGGGUUCUGAGAGGAAGGUCCCCCACAUUGGAACUGAGACACGGUCCAAACUCCUACGGGAGGCAGCAGUGAGGAAUAUUGGUCAAUGGACGAGAGUCUGAACCAGCCAAGUAGCGUGAAGGAUGACUGCCCUAUGGGUUGUAAACUUCUUUUAUAUGGGAAUAAAGUGAGCCACGUGUGGCUUUUUGUAUGUACCAUACGAAUAAGGAUCGGCUAACUCCGUGCCAGCAGCCGCGGUAAUACGGAGGAUCCGAGCGUUAUCCGGAUUUAUUGGGUUUAAAGGGAGCGUAGGCGGACUAUUAAGUCAGCUGUGAAAGUUUGCGGCUCAACCGUAAAAUUGCAGUUGAUACUGGUCGUCUUGAGUGCAGUAGAGGUAGGCGGAAUUCGUGGUGU
rnacentral:rRNA from 1 species